rnacentral:rRNA from 1 species
GACGAACGCUGGCGGCGUGCCUAAUACAUGCAAGUAGAACGCUGAAGGAGGAGCUUGCUCUUCUGGAUGAGUUGCGAACGGGUGAGUGACGCGUAGGUAACCUGCCUGGUAGUGGGGGAUAACUAUUGGAAACGAUAGCUAAUACCGCAUAAUAACAGUUGUUGCAUGACAACUGUUUGAAAGGUGCAAUUGCAUCACUACCAGAUGGACCUGCGUUGUAUUAGCUAGUUGGUGGGGUAACGGCUCACCAAGGCGACGAUACAUAGCCGACCUGAGAGGGUGAUCGGCCACACUGGGACUGAGACACGGCCCAGACUCCUACGGGAGGCAGCAGUAGGGAAUCUUCGGCAAUGGACGAAAGUCUGACCGAGCAACGCCGCGUGAGUGAAGAAGGUUUUCGGAUCGUAAAGCUCUGUUGUAAGAGAAGAACGAGUGUGAGAGUGGAAAGUUCACACUGGGACGGAUCUACCA